rnacentral:rRNA from 15 species
CCUAAGUCUCAGCCGAACGGCGAAGGCGAUGGCAGAUGCGGUUAAUAUUCCGCAACUCGCAUAUACAGUGAUGUGGAGACGGAGCAGUGACACUGCCGCGCCCUGACGGAAUAGGGCGUUUAAGUGCGUAGGCUAUGAGGAAGGCAGGCAAAUCCACCUUCCGAGCUGAACCAUGAAAGUACAGGUAAUCCUUCGGGAUAACUUGAGUGCAGGUAAUCAUACUUCCGAGAAAAUCCGCUAAACUUAAUGUAUAUGCGACCCGUACCGCAAACGGACACACGUGGUCGGGUAGAAUAUACUAAGGCGUUGAGAGAUUCAUGGUUAAGGAACUAGGCAAAUUGACCCCGUAACUUCGGGAUAAGGGGUCCUCAUAGCAAUAUGAGGCGCAGAGAAUCGGUCCAGGCAACUGUUUAACAAAAACACAGGGCUGUGCAAACUCG